rnacentral:rRNA from 1 species
UACGAAGGGGGCUAGCGUUGCUCGGAAUCACUGGGCGUAAAGGGCGCGUAGGCGGCCGGCCAAGUCGGGGGUGAAAGCCUGUGGCUCAACCACAGAAUGGCCCUCGAUACUGGACGGCUCGAGACCGGAAGAGGUUGGUGGAAUUGCGAGUGUAGAGGUGAAAUUCGUAGAUAUUCGCAAGAACACCAGUGGCGAAGGCGGCUGACUGGUCCGGAUCUGACGCUGAGGCGCGAAAGCUAGGGGAGCAAACGGGG